rnacentral:rRNA from 1 species
UAAGGAAUAUUGGACAAUGGAGGCAACUCUGAUCCAGCCAUGCCGCGUGAAGGAAUAAGGUCCUAUGGGUUGUAAACUUCUUUUAGACGGGACAAAACCCCUUUACGUGUAAAGGGUUGAUGGUACUGUCAGAAUAAGCAUCGGCUAACUUCGUGCCAGCAGCCGCGGUAAUACGAAGGAUGCAAGCGUUAUCCGGAAUUAUUGGGUUUAAAGGGUGCGUAGGCGGACUAAUAAGUCAGUGGUGAAAGCCUGCAGCUUAACUGCAGAAUUGCCAUUGAUACUGUUAGUCUUGAGUACAGUUGAGGUAGGCGGAAUGUGUCAUGUAGCGGUGAAAUGCUUAGAUAUGACACAGAACACCGAUUGCGGAGGCAGCUUGCUAAGCUGUAACUGACGCUGAGGCACGAAAGCGUGGGGAGCAGACA